rnacentral:rRNA from 1 species
CUGACGGUAGUCGUAUGCUCGUCUCCGAGACUAAGCCAUGCAAGUCCAAGUACACGUCCUUGAACGACGGAAACUGCGAACGGCUCAUUAAAUCAGUUGCGAUCUACUCGGCGUUCCGCGCCGCCGGAUAACCGUAGUAAUUCUAGGGCUAAUACGUGCGAAGCGCCGAAGCCGCGAGGCGACGGGCGUUCUCGCCGGAUGUAGGAACCGACCCGGGGACCGCCGGGGCAACCCGGCGCCCCCGAGACGGGGCGAACCACGGUGAAAUGACGGAUCGUCGGCCCCGCGCCGGCGACUCGCCGAAUGAGUUUCUGACCUAUCAACUCGAGACGGCGGGGUAGAGGCCCGCCGCGGUAACGACGGGUAACGGGGAAUCAGGGUUCGAUUCCGGAGAGGGAGCCCGAGAAACGGCUACCACUUCCAAGGAAGGCAGCAGGCGCGCAAC